CUUCAGCGAGCCGAGCCACAGCGGGUCCCCGCCCCGGUCCCGGCCGUACGUGGCCAGGAGCGCCCCGGCCUC
rnacentral:antisense_RNA from 1 species